rnacentral:lncRNA from 1 species
UAUGCAAGUAUAUAUAUAUAAUUAUAUGUGUAGAUAGAUAAGUAGAUAGAAGCUGAAGCAAUUUUUGUUGAAUGUAUCCUAAAUUUUUUGGUAAUCAUAGAUGAUGAUUCUGUCUCUAUAUACCCUUAAGAUGGGGGGAGGCAUCUUAAGAAGGUUAUCUAGUAUAUUGUCACUAGGCUUAACCAUUUAUCCCAGGUACAAUAGCUACAAUAUCAUAGACUCUUAGAAUUGAAAAUAACACUUUGACCCAUUUUUGCCUGUCUAAACAUUGAAUCAUCACUGCAACAUUCCAGGCAGAUUUUAAUCCAGUCUCUAUUUAACCGUAUCCAUUUCAUUUUUGAGGGAAGUUGUCCUGUGCAUCUGAAGUCCAAGUGUCUCAGUGAGGUUCAUUUUUCAAGCUCCCAGACUUCUGACCUUUUCCUCCUUUUGACUGAGAAUGUGCUGGAGAGACAACUACUAAGAUCUUGUCUUACUCUCAGAUUUUAUGAAUACCUCACUCACAAGGAAUCUAUUCAAAUUCUGCCCUGCUUUUGCCAUUAGAGGGUGUUCCUGGGGUCCAGCUGAAACUUAUCCUUCUGAAAUCCAUUCUCAGAGUCAUCUCUCUUCAUCUUCAGAGUCUCAGCAUCUGAACACUUAACGCUUCUCAGGAACACGUUCUAAAUUUUAACACUCUAUAAGAGGCAGGACUUUCUUAUUUAUGUGUAACAAUAUUCUUUUGAUGAAAGUGAAGUCAGUCUUUGGCUGUCUCCUUAAAGAAGCUAAAACAAAAGGGGCCAUCAAAUCCACUCUCUGCUGGAUUACACCAACUAUUAUGUAUGAUGGAGUGGACCCCCACCAGUAGGCAUGGAGAUCACCUGGAAUGUCCAGAUGGUUCCUCAGAAUGAGGGUUUUCAAAAGACCAUUGCUAGACAUAUGUGUCUGGUUAGAAUGUUUAACCUUUGCGGUCUUUAAUCAUGUAGUAUUAUGUGAAAUGCCACUGGCUGAAUGGUUUGAUAGAGUGUUGUCAGGCUGUAGACUUUCCAAUCUCCUGGCCACCACCAGAGGCCCUGCAGACACUGGGAAUGUGGUCCCUACCGUCUGAAUGCCUCACUAUUGGUCUGUUAGAAAAGAGGGCAGAUGGGAAUCAGCCUUCACAUUGUGUAGCAUGGUCAUAACGAGUUUAUGAUCAGAUGAUGAAUGAGAGACAGAGACAGACAAAGAGAGAUCAACCACUGGGGUGGGCAAGGCAAUAUCUGUUCCAGUUCUUCCAGGUCUCCUUUAAUUGGUGAUAAUCUCAAAGAUAUUUUCCCCUCAAAAUUAAGUUCAUGGAAAGAAGAUCCAUGGAGGAUUUUUAAUUCUCUGAGGGCAAAAAAAUCAUCUACCAUGGAAGUUCAUUAUGCUAUGUACCAGAAGUGCAGAUGAACCCACCAAGGAUGAAAAGCCCAUAGUGGCUGAUGUUAAGGGCAGCUGAAGUCGGUGGGAAGUGGUUUCACAAUAGGAGACAUUUGCAUCCUGUCCUAAUACUGACUAUUGGCUCUGUCACUUUUAGCUGGAGCAAGUAUCUGAGUGUCUCUGCACUUCAGUAUUCACAUCUGUAAAGUUGGAACAAUUUCGGGAUUGUGGUGAAAAUUAGAUAAAUAAACCAUGCAAAGAGCUUGUCGUGGUGCCCGAAACUUAGUCGACUGACAAAGCAAUGCUAUUAUUAACUCUUUAUUAGGAUUCUAGUUAUUAGAGCAUGCUUGCUAAGAGUGUUAAUAAGGCUUUAGCAGCAUAACUUGACCUAGGACCCUUCUGUGAGGGGAAUGCCUUGUCCUGUGUGGUGAUGAUUUAGGCCAUUUUAGUAUUCAUUUAUCCGACAUGAAGUUAUUCUACUUCAAAUUUUAUUUUUAAAAAAAUUGGUGACCAGAUCUCGCUCUUACACUUGUGAAGCACAUCAAGGCUUGAUGGCGACAUCUCUUGCUCCCUUUUCAGAGAACUGAUUCUAUCCAAAUAGAAGCAUCUGAGUUCUUUCUUUCAUGUAUUUGUGGUUGGGGAGGGGAGGUAGGGGGGUCAGCAUCUUUGUUGUUGUUGCUGAAGCUCUGGAAAGAGAGCAGUACAUGGAGAUGUGCUAGCCAAUUUGGCAGCGUGCUUUUUUCAGCCCGCUUGGCUGUGUACAAUAUUCUGUCUGAGUUUGGGAAGAUCUGUCUGCUUUUUUCCUUUGUAGAGAGGCUAUGAGAAAUGAGGCAAUGGAUUUGUCUUAUACAACAGCCUGGAAAAAUAGGCCAUGGCCUAACAAAUAAGAGAAGUUACAUGGCCUCAUUCCAAGGAGUUUCUGGCUGGAGAUUGGAGGACAGGUUGAGACGCCUUCUGAUAGAUUUGGUAUUAACUGCCCUCUUUCCUGAAACAAGUCCUGCUUAAAAUAAAAUGCAGGGGUGGGGGCAUGGGCAGGAGGAGGUGCGGAUCCUUACACAAUAUGGUAUCUCUUUAUCAAUAAUCAAUUUUAUGCAGAUUUAGAGUCAGGUCGAAUCCCACAUCCCAAGCUCAGCAGUAAACCCUGCAAUCCUCAUAUAGGGCAGUGAGGUGUGACAAGGGGAAGGUGUGACCUAGCCCCAGAUACUCUUCAUUUAACACUGGUUUACACCAUUUCUUUGUCAUAGAACUUCGAAUGACCAUCUAUCCCUUUUUGCUAUGCUUAUCUCCUCAAAGCACUUUGUCCUUUUAGGGCCUGCCAGUACCAGAUGACUUUUAUUUUUCUCCCAGAAUUGUCACUAGAGUUUCUCAUUCUGUACUCCCCCUCCCCCCAGCACCCCCCAACACAGACACACACACACUGCCAUUUUAAUCGCCUUUUCCAAUGAUGGCUGAGUGAUGUCUUCCCUAUCAAGCUCUCUUUGUGAUUUUGGUUUGGAAUUCAACAAACAGGAGAGGCUGGAAUAUCAUCCAUCUCCAGAGGCGUCUGAUCUGACUCAGCGUCUGCACCAGAAAUACUGCUCUGAAAAAAGAUGCGGUCCCUGCUUCACUGCGAACACCUAGAGUGUCUACGUUCAUUGUUCGCUUAACUCUUGCACUGCUUGCAAUGGGUUAUGACGGCCAUGGACCGAAUCUCUGUUUCUUCAUCCCGGAAUAAUGCUCUCCGGAGCUGCUUUCGGGAGCUGUUCACAGAUAAGAGCAAUCACGAGCCCCGCGGCGUGGCUUCCUUCUCUGUAUUCUGUGACACUCUCAUCCCAGCGACUGUGUCUGGCAGCCACACAAUGAGCCCCUGCGUGUGUCAGGGAGAUGGAUGGUAUCCGCAGUGUCUGCGUCUCUGCGCUGACGCCGCGAGCUCCCGCUGAACCUGACCUCGGGGAUGCCAGAUUCUGUGCCAUUGAAUUCUAAAGGCAAGCCACCCCCUUCCUAGAAAUGUCUUAUUUUCUCCCGACACAGAAUACUUUAAUGGAAAUAAUGACACGCAUUAGGUACUUUGAUGGAUAGCACACUGUACUUUCAUACUUGAUAUUCCUGAUUGCAGGACUCUUUGUUUUUGUCUCAUUGCUUUGUUAUUAUUUUUUUUUUCAAAGCUAAAACAAAGAGGCUACCAGUACAGGUGGUAGUUCUUUAUAAGCAUUUCACGAAGCUGUGCUUUCUUUAACUGUAUGAAAUCAGAAAAAAAAAAAUGGCAAAGGAUAUGAAUGAGCCCCCAUUUCCUUAUCAGGGAAGUAGCCAGAUAGUUUGGGGGAAGUCUGUUCUGAUCUAAAUUGACUGGGUUUGGUUUCAGCAUGAAAUCGGUGCCGAACUGUGCACAAAUGUGCCGCAGUGGGGUCUUUGGUAAUGGAUUAUCAGGAAGAUCUCAGGACUGUUGGGACCAUUCAGGCACAUCUGAGCAAAGAGGGAUUAUGUGGAAUUGGAACCAAAGGAAUAACAACAUAACCACUUCUACCAUCUGUUUUCUAAGGCCAACUUACCUGGCAUUGUCACACAAAGCCCCGCACUUAGAUAGGUAGCUUAAUUCUGUACAACUGUCAUCUUGAAAUUCUUAAUAAUUUGUGAGCAAAGAGGACCUGACGGUUUCAUUUUGUACUGGCCCAGCAAAUGAUGUCACUAGCUGUGAUGCCGGGCAUUGUUCUAUGCUUUGUCACAAAUAACAGGAUUCCUUCUCAGUUUUGACUGAGGUAUGCAACAGGACUGAUAUCAGCAUAGAUGUUAGGACACCAAAGUGAGUGGGAGGCAGCCUGACCUCCCUACAUAAAAGGCUACAUUGGAAAUGACCAUGAGAACGUGUGCCCUAUGACUUGAACCCUUCAGCCAGAUCAAGGGUCUAGAAAGAGUUUGAGGGAGAAGAUUUGAGCAGGUAUCUCUUCACAGAGAUCAAUUCCCUUGCUGUGAGCCCCUCCCUCCUCUCUGUGGUCGGGAGGAUGAGGUCUUAAGGAGGACACAAGGGACUGGUGCUUACUCGUGCCUGAGAAAGUUAGAGCAGACUAUGGCUUAGAUACAAUUCAUACCUGGAAAUCUAUGAGCUAAGACCGGUGCUAAAUAGAGGACUUAACAGAAGUGAUCUAGUUUGGUGGAACAAGGGGUGGGUGGUACACAAGAGUUGGUUGUGGAUCAUCUGGAAGAGAGCCUUCCCAUAGAACUGUCUUAGGUCUUCCUAGGUCUCUCUUGGGGUUUCUGGGGACAUGAGAAGACCCCAGAGGAAGGAUGUUCAGUGGUGAGAAGUAGCUGAGGCAGGAUUCAAGGACCUAAAAUAGAAAUGCAUCUGCUGAGACCAAGACAACCGUGAGAGAGAUUGGCAAAGAUGACAUUCAUAAAGCCCCCUAAAACAACCACAAGGACAAGGCUCAGCUCUGACCAUGGGCAUGGCCUUCCCCUAGGCACUGCAAGUUUUAACUAUCUGAUAGACCAUAAAGCACAAAGCCACCAGGUAUUACUGCUUCUUGCUCUCUCCACCUUUGAGCCUGAAAUGAAACUGAAGAUUGAGAGAGAGGUCGAGCUGGAAGAGAGAAGCAAUAGAGUCGUUGCAUCAUGUAAGUCCCAGCCUAAAACAGGUGCCAGCUGGUUGAGGGGUUAAGUUGCGUGUUAAAUCAGAUUUGGAGUUUUCACUGCUCUAUCAGACUAAACAUUCUGGUGACUGAAUCCAGCCUGUGUUUUAGUUGAAAGUAAUAGUCAGAUCUCCUUUUACCUAAUAAUGAGAGGAAAGCAGAGAAAGCUGUCUAAGUGUACCUUCCAGGGACAAGGGGAGGUUAUAUAUUCUCCCACUAUCUCAUUAAACUUCAUUCAGUGCGCACACACCAUGCUUGUCAACAUAUUGGUCACAUCUUUAUUACCCAUUCAAUCACCCUGAUGUUUGGCAGAAAGUACUAUCCAGAUGUUGGAAAGGAGAAGAGAAACACAGAGGUUAAGACACCUUAGCAAAUUAAUAACUGAUAGAGCUAGAACAUAGCUGGCUUAUGUUUCUUAAGGUUUAUUCUUUAAAUCAUUAGACUAACUCUCCUAAAUUAAAAAAAAUUAUCUGUUAAGUACCUCCUAUAUGCCAGGAAUGGUGUUAAUGGCUUCACAUAUGUGAUUAUAUUGUUUAUUUCUUAUGUAAAACAUGAAUUAGAUACUUUCCUUUUAUCUAUAGGAGGAAACUGAGAUGAAGGGAGUGUCCCCAACUAGUCUGAAAUUACAUGGGUAGCUCUUGACUGCCUGUUCAUUAAAAGAGAAAAACAGAAAGGGACUGUGAGAGAGAGAAAGAUAUUAAUUUCUCCCUUUUCUUCUCAAAUAAUUCAUAUCUUUGCUAAAAUGAAAUACUUAUGAAGGUCCUCCUAAUUAUAUUGACAGUAGUAGUCACCAAAAACAACACAACAUAAUUAUUAGCUGGACAUGGUCUCAUGAAGAGGUACCCUGAAUACAGAAAGAGAAAACUAACAGUCAUGACAACCUUAACCAAUAAUGAAAUGACGAACUCUGCAUUACACACUCUUAAGUGAAACUGUAACAUUAGAGAGAGGGCUUCACUCUCCUAUUUCCAGGAAUAUCCAGAGAAGUCUUCAUGGAAAAGGUGAGUCAUUAAUCAUAGUUUUAUUUAAACAGUUCAAGGACAACAACAACAAAGAGCAUCCAGGUUUUGUGGAUGGUGGUGGCAACAAUAGCAAAAUUACAGGACUGGGAAUAAAUAUAACCAACAAAAGGAGAGAGCAGGGAAAGAGUUUUCUUUUAGAAAGGCUGCUAUUUCUAGAAGAGUGGGACAUAUACUGUGGCUCUGUUAUUUAUGCAGAGAGCUGAAGUCAGGCUGAUGGAUGUGAACAUGAUAUGGUGGUAAAGGAGAAUCCACGGCAGGUUCUUCAUUAAGUGAUUAACCAACAAUGAAAGAUAAGUUUCCAAAAUAGGAGUUCCCACUGUGGUGAAAUGGGAUCAAAAUGGAAUCAGCAGGGUCUUGGGAGUGCUGGGACACAGGUUCGAUUCCCUGCCCAGCACAGUGGGUUAAGGAUCCAGCAUUGUCACAGCUGUGGCUUAGGUCACAACUACGGGGCAG